UGGGGAAUUUUGGACAAUGGGGGAAACCCUGAUCCAGCCAUCCCGCGUGUGCGAUGAAGGCCUUCGGGUUGUAAAGCACUUUUGGCAGGAAAGAAACGUCGCGGGUUAAUACCCCGCGAAACUGACGGUACCUGCAGAAUAAGCACCGGCUAACUACGUGCCAGCAGCCGCGGUAAUACGUAGGGUGCAAGCGUUAAUCGGAAUUACUGGGCGUAAAGCGUGCGCAGGCGGUUCGGAAAGAAAGAUGUGAAAUCCCAGAGCUUAACUUUGGAACUGCAUUUUUUAACUACCGGGCUAGAGUGUGUCAGAGGGGAGGUGGAAUUCCGCGUGUAGCAGUGAAAUGCGUAGAUAUGCGGAGGAACACCGAUGGCGAAGGCAGCCUCCUGGGAUAACACUGACGCUCAUGCACGAAAGCGUGGGGAGCAAACAGGAUUAGAUACCCUGGUAGUCCACGCCCUAAACGAUGUCAACUAGCUGUUGGGGCUUCGGCCUUGGUAGCGCAGCUAACGCGUGAAGUUGACCGCCUGGGAGUACGGUCGC
rnacentral:rRNA from 1 species